rnacentral:rRNA from 1 species
GAAAAGUACCCCGGAAGGGGAGUGAAAGAGAACUUGAAACCGUGUGCUUACAAGUAGUCAGAGCCCGUUUAUGGGUGAUGGCGUGCCUUUUGUAGAAUGAACCGGCGAGUUACGAUCUGAUGCAAGGUUAAGCAGUGAAUGUGGAGCCGUAGCGAAAGCGAGUCUGAAUAGGGCGUUGAGUAUUUGGUCGUAGACCCGAAACCAGGUGAUCUACCCUUGGUCAGGUUGAAGUUCAGGUAACACUGAAUGGAGGACCGAACCGACUUACGUUGAAAAGUGAGCGGAUGAACUGAGGGUAGCGGAGAAAUUCCAAUC